rnacentral:rRNA from 1 species
UACGUAGGGGGCAAGCGUUGUCCGGAAUCAUUGGGCGUAAAGAGCGUGUAGGCGGCUCAGUAAGUCCGCUGUGAAAGUCCAGGGCUCAACCCUGGAAUGCCGGUGGAAACUGCUGGGCUAGAGUCCGGAAGAGGCGGGUGGAAUUCCUGGUGUAGCGGUGAAAUGCGCAGAUAUCAGGAGGAACACCGAUGGCGAAGGCAGCCCGCUGGGACGCGACUGACGCUGAGACGCGAAAGCGUGGGGAGCGAACAGG